rnacentral:lncRNA from 1 species
CUAGCUUUCAUACCUAGAAUAUUAUGCUUGAAUGCUUAAAAGAUUUAUCCAACUUUAGGGUUUCAUUGUAUUGUAUAGAGUAACCACUUAAAUACUUCUCUCUUGUACUCAUAUUUGAUAUAGUAAAAAUUAUUUUCUUACAUUUUUGUGAAUUACAAGUACUUGAGAGUGCAAAUGAAGUAAACCCAAUUUUACUUGUGGGUCAUUUGGCAUUCACAUAUUAUAACUAUUUUACUUGUGGACUAAAUUACGUAUAUUGAACUAGAGAAAAAGUCGAUUUGAAUAUACGGAGACCAAUAUCAUUCUAUCCUAAGAUAUCAGGACUUAUUCAAAGGGGUAUAACAUAUUCAAAGUCUCCAACUAAAUCUAGUCCUCGUAUCCUCAACUUAUCAAAAAGUCAAUACCUUUAAGGUAUGUGCUAAAGAAAGGCACGAGUGUUGACAACCCCACCAUCUAUACAUUUGACACUUGCCUUAAUGAUUAAGAAAAUGCCUGAUCAUCAUUUACUAAAACUCAUAAAAAUGUUUAUAUCAUCUGCCAAACUCAAUUAUUUCAAAAUUUAUUUUCAAUCAUGUAUUUCAUGGGAUUUACAACUUUUACCAAUUUUCCCUUCAAAUCUUACCAAAGCCAAUUAGGCAACGGCUUAAGGCCUUAGAUAUUUGAGGGACCUCAAAAAUAAACCAUUUGGUCUCUGGUUCUUGCAGACAGUGGGAACAUAUCUUGUUAUUGCAAAUUAUUGCAUGACAGGAAUGACCUUUAUGAUUUGCUAAAGAAAUGAAGGUACUUUCCUGGGUUUCUUCAUUUUGCUUUAUUUCCACUCGUCAUUCAUUUACCAAUACGGGUUGACUCCAUUUCCUAGACAAUAUGCUCAUGCCAAUUUCCUAAAUUUGUGGAUUUAAUUGAAACUCAAAAAAGUUUAACCAUAUUUUCUUACCUUCGUUUCAGUCUAUGAUAAUCUUUGUCAAAUUUUUAAUCUGUGGAAUCACACACACAUUGAAAGAACAUUUAGUCCAACCUAUCCUUUCCAUCCAAUCUCAUCU